UCUGUGAGGGGCCAGGAGAGACAGGGGUCAAGCUUCCUGAAGGGUCUGGGAGGAAAGUUGCUCCCUAGGGGUGCAGGAGGCACAGAAAGGUUAAGUGACUAGUCUUAGAUGACACAGCUAAUGGGCCAUGAACCCAGGUCUCUACUGGAAACCUGAGACACUUCGCAGACUACCUUUUGAAACAAGACUUCUCAAUGGCCAGGAGCUCAGCCACCAAGUCCUCUUGCUGAAGGAAGUUCAGAUGCAAAAAGAAUUCCAGAAAAGGCUCCACACCUUCAGGCACAUCCUCUUCCUACCAGGAGGCAUUUCUUACAAGGAAGAACAAUUUCCUGCAUCAGUACAUCACUGUGAUCAUGUCUAAGAAAAUUAACAGCUCCGGAUGCCAUCUAGUACCCAGCCCAUAUUCUCCGAAAUGCCCUUGACAACUCUUGGAGAUACGGAACCAGGGUCGGGAGCCAUGGUGCUCCCAUGUGUUCCAUUGGGUUGUGAUCUCUCUUUGCCGCCUUUAAAUGAGAACACUCCCAUCACCUCCCUCCCUGUUGCAGUAAUAUUGACUUUUUGAAAACACCAAGUCUGUUGUCUUAUAAAAUGUUCUCACAAUUUGUCUUAGGUUGCUUGUGGCAACUUCAAAGUCAUUCCUAUGUUUCGUAUACACUUUCGA